CAUUGAAUGGCUGAAAUUUUAAGCAUUGGUCUCUUAAACCACUCUAUGGUGAUUAUCACUUUCAAUGA
rnacentral:tRNA from 2 species